GUGGGGAAUCUUGCGCAAUGGGCGAAAGCCUGACGCAGCCAUGCCGCGUGAAUGAUGAAGGUCUUAGGAUUGUAAAAUUCUUUCACCGGGGACGAUAAUGACGGUACCCGGAGAAGAAGCUCCGGCUAACUUCGUGCCAGCAGCCGCGGUAAUACGAAGGGGGCUAGCGUUGCUCGGAAUUACUGGGCGUAAAGGGCGCGUAGGCGGACAGCUUAGUCAGAGGUGAAAGCCCAGGUCUCAACCUUUGAAUUGCCUUUGAUACUGGCUGUCUUGAGUUUGGGAGAGGUGAGUGGAACUCCGAGUGUAGAGGUGAAAUUCGUAGAUAUUCGGAAGAACACCAGUGGCGAAGGCGACACACUGGCUCAUUACUGACGCUGAGGCGCGAAAGCGUGGGGAGCAAACAGGAUUAGAUACCCUGGUAGUCC
rnacentral:rRNA from 1 species